GGCGGCCAUGGUGCGGGUCCGCCGCUCGGGCGGCUCCAGCUCGCCCACGACGACCUGGAGCAGCGGGAUCGCGGCCCGGGUGGCCAC
rnacentral:tRNA from 1 species